GAGUUUGAUCCUGGCUCAGAUUGAACGCUGGCGGCAUGCUUUACACAUGCAAGUCGAACGGCAGCACGGGGCAACCUGGUGGCGAGUGGCGAACGGGUGAGUAACAUAUCGGAACAUGUCCGGAAGUGGGGGAUAACGUAGCGAAAGUUACGCUAAUACCGCAUAUGCCCUGAGGGGGAAAGGGGGGGAUCGCAAGACCUCUCGCUUUCGGAGUGGCCGAUAUCGGAUUAGCUAGAUGGUGAGGUAAAGGCUCACCAUGGUGACGAUCCGUAGCUGGUCUGAGAGGACGACCAGCCACACUGGAACUGAGACACGGUCCAGACUCCUACGGGAGGCAGCAGUGGGGAAUUUUGGACAAUGGGGGCAACCCUGAUCCGGCCAUACCGCGUGAGUGAAGAAGGCCUUCGGGUUGUAAAGCUCUUUCGGCAGGAAAGAAAUCGUGCAGGCUAAUAUCCUGUAUGGAUGACGGUACCUGAAGAAGAAGCACCGGCUAACUACGUGCCAGCAGCCGCGGUAAUACGUAGGGUGCGAGCGUUAAUCGGAAUUACUGGGCGUAAAGCGUGCGCAGGCGGUUCCGUAAGACAGAUGUGAAAUCCCCGGGCUUAACCUGGGAACUGCAUUUGUGACUGCGAGACUAGAGUGUAGCAGAGGGGGGUAGAAUUCCACGUGUAGCAGUGAAAUGCGUAGAUAUGUGGAGGAAUACCGAUGGCGAAGGCAGCCCCCUGGGCUAACACUGACGCUCAUGCACGAAAGCGUGGGGAGCAAACAGGAAUUAGAUACCCUGGUAGUCCACGCCCUAAACGAUGUCAACUUAGUGUUUGGGGAAAGGAAACUUUCUUUUUAGUACCGCAGCUAACGCCUGGAAGUGGACCGCCUGGGGAGUACGGUCGCAAGAUUAAAACUCAAAGGAAUUGACGGGGACCCGCACAAGCGGUGGAUUAUGUGGAUUAAUUCGAUGCAACGCGAAAAACCUUACCUACCCUUGACAUGCCGAGAAUCCCGAAGAGAUUUGGGAGUGCCCGAAAGGGAACUUGGACACAGGUGCUGCAUGGCUGUCGUCAGCUCGUGUCGUGAGAUGUUGGGUUAAGUCCCGCAACGAGCGCAACCCUUGUCAUUAAUUGCCAUCAUUUAGUUGGGUACUCUAAAGAAACCGCCGGUGAUAAGCCGGAGGAAGGUGGGGAUGACGUCAAGUCCUCAUGGCCCUUACGCGCUGGGCUACACACGUGCUACAAUGGCGACUACAGUGGGCUGCAAUCCCGCGAGGGUGAGCUAAUCUCCAAAAGUCGUCUCAGUUCGGAUUGUUCUCUGCAACUCGAGAGCAUGAAGGCGGAAUCGCUAGUAAUCGCGGAUCAGCAUGCCGCGGUGAAUACGUUCCCAGGCCUUGUACACACCGCCCGUCACACCAUGGGAGUUGGUUUCACCCGAAGGCAGUGCGCUAACCGCAAGGAGGCAGCUGACCACGGUGGGAUCAGCGACUGGGGUGAAGUCGUAACAAGGUAACCGUA
rnacentral:rRNA from 1 species